GACGAACGCUGGCGGCGUGCUUAACACAUGCAAGUCGAACGGAAAGGCCCUGCUUUUGUGGGGUGCUCGAGUGGCGAACGGGUGAGUAACACGUGAGUAACCUGCCCUUGACUUUGGGAUAACUUCAGGAAACUGGGGCUAAUACCGGAUAGGAGCUCCUGCUGCAUGGUGGGGGUUGGAAAGUUUCGGCGGUUGGGGAUGGACUCGCGGCUUAUCAGCUUGUUGGUGGUGUAGUGGCUUACCAAGGCUUUGACGGGUAGCCGGCCUGAGAGGGUGACCGGCCACAUUGGGACUGAGAUACGGCCCAGACUCCUACGGGAGGCAGCAGUGGGGAAUAUUGCACAAUGGGCGGAAGCCUGAUGCAGCAACGCCGCGUGCGGGAUGACGGCCUUCGGGUUGUAUACCGCUUUCGCCUGUGACGAAGCGUGAGUGACGGUAAUGGGUAAAGAAGCACCGGCUAACUACGUG
rnacentral:rRNA from 1 species